GGGGAGGAGAAGGAAAUUGACAGGGGUAGAGGGAGAGAUUGACAUCCAUCACACACACAAUGCACCCCUUGCACACAAAAAAACACACAAUGCAUUACACACAUACACAAGCAAUGCAUCCCUUACACACAGCAACACACAAUGCACCCCUUACACACACUCAGUGCAUCCCUUACAGACGCACACACUGCAUCCCAUACAUACACAAACUCACCUUACAGCCCUUACACAUACAAACACAGAUUCACACAAUGCAUUCCUUACACACAUCAGGAC